GGGGAAUAUUGGACAAUGGGCGAAAGCCUGAUCCAGCCAUGCCGCGUGUGUGAAGAAGGUCUUCGGAUUGUAAAGCACUUUAAGUUGGGAGGAAGGGCAGUUACCUAAUACGUGAUUGUUUUGACGUUACCGACAGAAUAAGCACCGGCUAACUCUGUGCCAGCAGCCGCGGUAAUACAGAGGGUGCAAGCGUUAAUCGGAAUUACUGGGCGUAAAGCGCGCGUAGGUGGUUAGUUAAGUUGGAUGUGAAAUCCCCGGGCUCAACCUGGGAACUGCAUUCAAAACUGACUGACUAGAGUAUGGUAGAGGGUGGUGGAAUUUCCUGUGUAGCGGUGAAAUGCGUAGAUAUAGGAAGGAACACCAGUGGCGAAGGCGACCACCUGGACAAAGACUGACGCUCAGGGGCGAAAGCGUGGGGAGCAAAC
rnacentral:rRNA from 1 species